rnacentral:rRNA from 1 species
UACGUAGGGUGCGAGCGUUAAUCGGAAUUACUGGGCGUAAAGGGUGCGCAGGCGGCCGCGCAAGUCGAGUGUGAAAUCCCCGAGCUUAACUUGGGAAUUGCGCUCGAAACUACGUGGCUCGAGUGUGGCAGAGGAAGGUGGAAUUCCACGUGUAGCGGUGAAAUGCGUAGAGAUGUGGAGGAACACCGAUGGCGAAGGCAGCCUUCUGGGCCAACACUGACGCUCAUGCACGAAAGCGUGGGGAGCAAACAGG